rnacentral:rRNA from 1 species
UCCACGCCCUAAACGAUGUCAACUAGGUGUUGGGGAAGGAGACUUCUUUAGUACCGCAGCUAACGCGUGAAGUUGACCGCCUGGGGAGUACGGUCGCAAGAUUAAAACUCAAAGGAAUUGACGGGGACCCGCACAAGCGGUGGAUUAUGUGGAUUAAUUCGAUGCAACGCGAAAAACCUUACCUACCCUUGACAUGCCAGGAACCCUGCUGAGAGGCGGGGGUGCCCGAAAGGGAGCCUGGACACAGGUGCUGCAUGGCUGUCGUCAGCUCGUGUCGUGAGAUGUUGGGUUAAGUCCCGCAACGAGCGCAACCCUUGCCAAUAAUUGCCAUCAUUCAGUUGGGCACUUUAUUGGGACUGCCGGUGAUAAACCGGAGGAAGGUGGGGAUGACGUCAAGUCCUCAUGGCCCUUAUGGGUAGGGC